UAGCUCAGGAUACGAAAGAGUGGAGGUGCGUGUCCAACCAGUCAGUCUUAGGACUGACGACUUUAUAAUGAUGAAACAUAAACUUAAACGUACUAUUCUAAUUGGAAGUAUCAUAUAGGCCAAAUAUUUUACGACGUCUUUUACUUUCAUAGGUAAAUUCGACCUGUUUGGAAUGGCUGAAGGAAUUUUAAACGAAACCAUUUCGAAAAUAUCAGUCUUGAGGUUACAUGUUCAUUCAGAAAGUGAAAACUGGACAAUCCUGAGUGAGAUCAAUAUAAUUGUAACUGAAGAAAGUAGGUGACGAGAAAGCGAUGGGAAGCUUUUGAUCAAAAAGCACACCAUUUUCAACCAUAUGAAAUAACUAAAUGCUGUGAUAUAAUUGUGUAACGUUUGUACAUUAAUAAAAUUACUCCUUUUUUA